CUUGACUGUAUCCUGGAAUUGGGUUCGGGCUUUUCUUGCGCAGACUAGGUGGGAGGCUACGAAGAUUUCCUUCCGGGGAAGUUGGAGCCAACAGUGAGAGACCACUCUGGAAAGGCUAGAAUCCUAAUGGUGAUCCCUGAAUCGGGACACUUGACAGUUUCAGGUGGGCAGUUUGUUUGGGGCGAACGCCUCAUAAAAGGUAACUGAGGCGCGCAAAGGUCCCCUCAGUCUGGACGGAAAUCAGACAUUGAGUGUAAAGGCAAAAGGGGGCUUGACUGCAAGACCUACAAGUCGAGCAGGAGCGAAAGCUGGCCUUAGUGAUCCGACGGUGCCGUGUGGAAGGGCCGUCGCUCAACGAAUAAAAGUUA
rnacentral:rRNA from 1 species